rnacentral:rRNA from 1 species
UACAGAGGGGGCAAGCGUUGUUCGGAAUUACUGGGCGUAAAGGGCGCGUAGGCGGCCUGCUAAGUCGAACGUGAAAUCCCCGAGCUCAACUCGGGAACUGCGUCCGAUACUGGCAGGCUUGAAUCCGGGAGAGGGAUGCAGAAUUCCAGGUGUAGCGGUGAAAUGCGUAGAUAUCUGGAGGAAUACCGGUGGCGAAGGCGGCAUCCUGGACCGGCAUUGACGCUGAGGAGCGAAAGCCAGGGGAGCAAACGGG